GUCUAAUCCCUGUCUGUGUGGAAAUAGAACUGUCCAUCACCAAGAAGAAGAAGAUGGCGAUGAAAUCUGGUCUACCAGCCCAGUUUGUUCACCGAGAAAAUCAAAAAGAAAAAAGGACACCAAGAAUCCCUAUUCAACAAGGGGACUCGACCAGUUCACCGCACUUUUAGCAGAACUCGAAGAAAAAAGGCGAAAAAUUUACUCAAAAAAGUGGAUCCCAAAGCUUAGUCCGAUUCGUUUACAACAACUCAAACGAUUGUGUCCCGGUCGUGAUAAAUCUGAGAGACAAGAACGAAGACAAAACCAAACCAGGAAACACCAAAGAAAGGUAUGUUCCUGAAGCCAUUAACAAGCUUCAAACCCCAUCAGAACCCGACACGGAAGUGAUCAAGAUGAAGGUGGAGAAGAAGAAGAGCUUUUCAUGGAGUGCCGUGGAGUUCCAGAAUCUGAGAAAGCCAUCUUAUUUCAUCCCAGGAAUCAUAAUCCUAAUUUUGUUGCUUUUGAUGUUGUUUGGAAGAUCGGCUGCGGUAUUAUGUACUUGUGUUGGAUGGUACGUAGUUCCCACAAUCAACGGGGAAGGAUCAAAUUUAAGAACAUCGAUGAAGAAGAAAGAUUGAGUGGGAAUAAAUUAUCUUAUCCAAAGCGUGAUUAACCCACACCACUGAAUCUGUGUUUCUGUGUCGUGCAAUUUCCAUUUUUGUUGUGUGUUGGUUAUUUGUUGAUGUAAAUAGAUUUGUAAUAUAUGGGUCUUGGGUUGUAAAUUGUAAUGGUUUUGAUGCCACUAUGCACACCCUUCAUAGACAAAGGUGAUUACAUGCUUUGAGCGGGCGGGCAUAAUCUCCAAACAAUUAUACAUGUAUCGAACCAUAUUGGUGGACUUGAAUGC